CUGGUGACAGCCUGACCCCCCCAUCUCUUGGGCAGGUGGCUGGCCUGUUUCAUGACCCCAGUAUUGGGAACCCCAUCCACAUCACCAUUGUGCGCCUGGUCCUUCUGGAAGAUGAAGAGGAGGACCUAAAGAUCACACACCAUGCAGACAACACCCUGAAGAGCUUUUGCAAGU